CUUGGCAUAGCUCAGUGGUAGAAUACAUACUUAGCAUGUAUAAGGUCCUGGGUUCAAUUCUAGUGCUAAAA
rnacentral:tRNA from 1 species